AGUGAACGCUGGCGGUAGGCCUAACACAUGCAAGUCGAACGGCAGCGCAGUACGAGCUUGCUCUUCCGGGUGGCGAGUGGCGGACGUGUGAGGAAUACAUCGGAAUCUACUUUUUCGUGGGGGUUCACGUAGGGAAACUUACGCUCAUACCGCAUAUGCCCUAGCGGUGAAAGCAGUGGAACUUCGCAGCUUGCGCGGUUGAACUCGCCGCUGACGGAUUAGCUAGUUGGCGGGGUAAAGGCCAACCAAGGCGCCGAUCCGUAGCUGGUCUGAGAGGAUGGUCAGCCGCACGGGAACGGAGACACGGUCCAGACGCCUACGGGAGGCAGCAGUGGGGAAUAUUGGACAAUGGGCGCAAGCCUUAUCCAGCCAUACCGCGUGGGUGAAGGAGGCCUUCGGUUUGUAAAGCCGUUUUGUUGGGAAAGAAAAGCAGCAGGUUAAUACCCCGCGGUUCUGACGGUACCCAAAGAAUAAGCACCGGCUAACUUCGUG
rnacentral:rRNA from 1 species